GCAUGUGGUUUAAUUCGAAGCAACGCGAAGAACCUUUACCAGGUCUUGACAUCCGAUGCUAUUCUAGAGAUAGAAAGGUUACUUCGGUACAUCGGUGACAGGUGGUGCAUGGUUGUCGUCAGCUCGUGUCGUGAGAUGUUGGGUUAAGUCCCGCAACGAGCGCAACCCCUAUUGUUAGUUGCCAUCAUUCAGUUGGGCACUCUAGCGAGACUGCCGGUAAUAAACCGGAGGAAGGUGGGAUGACGUCAAAUCAUCAUGCCCCUUAUGACCUGGGCUACACACGUGCUACAAUGGUUGGUACAACGAGUUGCGAGUCGGUGACGGCGAGCUAAUCUCUUAAAGCCAAUCUCAGUUCGGAUUGUAGGCUGCAACUCGCCUACAUGAAGUCGGAAUCGCUAGUAAUCGCGGAUCAGCACGCCGCGGUGAAUACGUUCCCGGGCCUU
rnacentral:rRNA from 1 species